UACGAAGGGGGCUAGCGUUGCUCGGAAUCACUGGGCGUAAAGCGCACGUAGGCGGCUUCUUAAGUCAGGGGUGAAAUCCUGGAGCUCAACUCCAGAACUGCCUUUGAUACUGAGGAGCUUGAGUCCGGGAGAGGUGAGUGGAACUGCGAGUGUAGAGGUGAAAUGCGUAGAUAUUGCUCGGAAGGCCAAAGCCGAAGGGCACCCCACUGGUACGCAACUGACGCUGAGGCACGAAAGCGUGGGGAGCAAACAGG
rnacentral:rRNA from 1 species